AGAAAACAGCAGCUGAUGAUCUGAAGCCAGGCUGUGCUAUUGUCCGGCACACAAAUGUUCUACAAGGACCCAGACCACCAUGCAGUUCUCUGUGCACAGACUAUGAAGAAGCACUGGAAGAAGGGGGUAAUAACAUUCAGGCAAAAGGAGGCUGUUGAUCACAUCUGUAAUUCUUUCUGGCAUAAAGAGAACUAGGGGACAUCUACAAGAAUGUAUAUUCAUCUAAAUUCGUGGGACAGAGGAGUCAGGCAGAAUGGCUUUUCAAAGGCGUGCUGCAUCUUGCUCGGCUGGAAAUGUCUUUCAAUAAGGAGGCAACACGGAGGCCAUGUGAUACAAUCCCGUAGACAGAGCCAAGUGGAAUACAUCAAAGAGAGCCUUGAUGCAGAUGUUUCAUGCAGAAGAAAAUUAGGGUUUGCAAAGCAGUGGCAGAAAAGUAUCAGAAAAGUGCUCAAAGGUCCGCAUCUGCUCCAGUCCGGGAUAGGAAGCCAUCAUGAGGAUGUUGCCUUUCUUCCCUGCAUUUAAAAGGCUUUAUCUGGUUUAAAAAAUGAUACUAGUCUUUCUGCUUUUCUUCUUCAACUUGAUCUCCUCUCCACCAGCAGUCUCCUACCACUGUUUCUCUCUCUCUCUCUCUCUCUCUCUCUCUCUCUCUCUCUCUCACACACACACACACACACACACACACACACACACACACACACACACAAUUAAAAUUUCCAAGGAGGGCAGAAGUGCAGGGAAGCAGUGACAGUGGAGUAGAAAGGUGACCUGAUAAAAAGACCUAGUUUCAAUCCCACCUUUGUGUGGAUGGGAGAAGCAACUCUCUUCUGUGGGCUCAGUGUUCUCACCUGGAGAAGUGUGGGUGCUGAUCCCUGAUACCCUCACAGCUUUGCCACUGAUUCCAUAAAUAGCCUUUCUCAGGAAAUUGAUGUCGUCUGGAAAUGUCUGGCUGUGGGUUGUAACCACAUAUCUACCUACUAAGAUGUUACUUAAGACCUUGAUCGUAGGAUUAACAUCAAGGCAAUGGGCAUGUUCAUGUAGCAGUGGGUCAGUCUGAUUCCUUCCAGAUACACCUCAGUGGGGCAGCUCAGCACAGGAGAAACAGUAUUAGCUUAGAAGGCAGACAGAGUUGAGUUUGAAUUCAGGCUCUGUCACUUCCUGGCUGUGUGACCUCAGGCAAGUCACUUAGACUCUCUGAUCCUCAGUUUCUUCCACAGUAAAAUUGGGAUAGUAACCAUUAAUAAAGGUUGUUAUAGGAUUAAAUAAAAUAUAUGACAUAUAUGUGCUUGAUACAUGGUAGGUACUCAGCAAAUAUUCAUGUGAUUUUUACC